UGAGGAAUAUUGGUCAAUGGACGGAAGUCUGAACCAGCCAUGCCGCGUGCAGGAUGACGGCUCUAUGAGUUGUAAACUGCUUUUAUACGAGGGUAAAGUGGGCUACGUGUAGUCUUUUGAAAGUAUCGUAUGAAUAAGGAUCGGCUAACUCCGUGCCAGCAGCCGCGGUAAUACGGAGGAUUCGAGCGUUAUCCGGAUUUAUUGGGUUUAAAGGGUGCGUAGGCGGUAAUUUAAGUUAGUCGUUAAAUCGGAAGGCUCAACCUUCUCAUGGCGAUUAAUACUGGGUUACUGGAGAUUAGAUGCAGAGGGCGGAAUGUGUAGUGUAGCGGUGAAAUGCUUAGAUAUUACACAGAACACCGAUUGCGAAGGCAGCUCUCUAAUCUACAUCUGACGCUCAGGCACGAAAGCGUGGGGAUCAAACA
rnacentral:rRNA from 1 species